GCUCAGCCAUAAACAAAGACACAAAUUCCGCACAGAAAACUACGAGCGACAAGCUUAAAACUCAAAGGACCUGACGGUGUCCCACACCAACCUAGAGGAGCCUGUCCCAUAAUCGAUAAUCCGCGAUAAACCUCACCGCCCCUGGCCCACCCAGUCUAUAUACCGCCGUCGCCAGCCUAUCUCACAAGAGUCAAUGGCCAAACAGCAGCACAGCACUGCUAAUACGACAGGUCAAGGCGUAACUCAUGGGGCGGAGAAGAUUGGCUACAAUGCCUACCUACAAGGCUAAACGAAACAUACCAUGAAACUGGGAUAAGAAGACGAAUUUAGCAGUAAGAAAGGAAAAGAAGAACCUGUCUGAAAUCAGUCCUGGGACG
rnacentral:rRNA from 1 species